GAUGAAGAACGCAGCGAAAUGCGAUAAGUAAUGUGAAUUGCAGAAUUCAGUGAAUCAUCGAAUCUUUGAACGCACAUUGCGCCCCCUGGUAUUCCGGGGGGCAUGCCUGUUCGAGCGUCAUUUCACCACUCAAGCCUCGCUUGGUAUUGGGCAACGCGGUCCGCCGCGUGCCUCAAAUCGACCGGCUGGGUCUUCUGUCCCCUAAGCGUUGUGGAAACUAUUCGCUAAAGGGUGUUCGGGAGGCUACGCCGUAAAACAACCCCAUUUCUAAGGUUGACCUCGGAUAAGGUAGGGAUACCCGCUGAACUUAAGCAUAUCAAAAGCGGAGGA
rnacentral:misc_RNA from 1 species